rnacentral:tRNA from 1 species
GCAGUGGUGGUUCAGUGGUAGAAUUCUCCAUGUUGGAGACCUGGGUUCGAUUCCAGCCAAUGUA